AUCCUGCGUACGCCACUGUAUAUAUAUAUAUAUAUAUUUGUCAUUGCCCUACUUAUCAUAUUCCCUCAAUGAUGCGGGCAUGAACCGGAAUCCCUGAAGAGGCUCUUAAAACAUAAGUCUUUGUGAAAGAAUAGAUUUAAAGAGAGAGAGAGGAAAAAAAAGUUGGGAAAUAAAUGAGACAUGGAGAUAGGAAGUGAGAGAGCUCAGCGUGGCGUGAAAUAAAGAAUAUAUAUUGCUCAGUCCAUAUAAAGCUUGUAUAUGGCCUACAGUGUGUAGUAUGUUUUUUUGUGCAAUGGUAUGAAUGUGUGAUAUUUCAAAAGAAAUGAGUAAACGAAUUUAGAAAUGACAUUACGAAAAGAACAACAACGAAAGUAGCAACAAACAUGGACGGCACUGCAGGAUAUGAACAAAAUAAUGUUAAAAGAUACCACAUCAGGGGCCCGUCUUGUAAACAGUUGCUAAUAAUCGCAGCUUAUUUGCGAUCGAUAUUAUCCCCACUAUAAUUAUGUAGAUAAGAGAUAGGAGACUGCAAACUUGUGAUUGAUUGGAGGACUUGCGAUUAAUUCAGAUUGAUCCAUCUUUAUUUCUUUAUAAAACGGGACCCAGUAUACUCACAAAUAUUUUACCAGUAUAGAGCCACAUAAUACCAGUAUACAUGUAAAACCAGCGAACCAGGAUGAGUUGAAACUCACGUGCAACAAAAUGUGAAGGAUAAAACGCUCAAGUUACCAUUUAAUGGUAACUUGAGCGUUUUAGCCUUCAUGUGAUGCGGCUGUAUUUAUUCUUAAACAUUUAAAGGUUUAAACUUUAAACGAUCUAAAGCCUUUAUCAAAUGUAACAGGCAACACGUAAAAUUUAUGUAAUAUUUUGAAGGUGAAGAUAAAAAGACCCCCCCCCCAAAAA